GGGGGACGUUGUCCGGCAUUAUUGGGCGUAAGCGCGCGCAGGCGGUUUCUUAAGUCUGAUGUGAAAGCCCACGGCUCAACCGUGGAGGGUCAUUGGAAACUGGGAAACUUGAGUGCAGAAGAGGAGAGUGGAAUUCCAUGUGUAGCGGUGAAAUGCGUAGAGAUGUGGAGGAACACCAGUGGCGAAGGCGACUUUCUGGUCUGUAACUGACACUGAGGCGCGAAAGCGUGGGGAGCAAACAGGAUUAGAUACCCUGGUAGUCCACGCCGUAAACGAUGAGUGCUAAGUGUUAGAGGGUUUCCGCCCUUUAGUGCUGAAGUUAACGCAUUAAGCACUCCGCCUGGGGAGUACGGCCGCAAGGCUGAAACUCAAAGGAAUUGACGGGGGCCCGCACAAGCGGUGGAGCAUGUGGUUUAAUUCGAAGCAACGCGAAGAACCUUACCAGGUCUUGACAUCCUCUGACAACCCUAGAGAUAGGGCUUCUCCUUCGGGAGCAGAGUGACAGGUGGUGCAUGGUUGUCGUCAGCUCGUGUCGUGAGAUGUUGGGUUAAGUCCCGCAACGAGCGCAACCCUUGAUCUUAGUUGCCAUCAUUCAGUUGGGCACUCUAAGGUGACUGCCGGUGACAAACCGGAGGAAGGUGGGGAUGACGUCAAAUCAUCAUGCCCCUUAUGACCUGGGCUACACACGUGCUACAAUGGACAGAACAAAGAGCUGCGAAACCGCGAGGCUGAGCUAAUCUCAUAAAUCCGUUCUCAGUUCGGAUUGUAGGCUGCAACUCGACUGCAUGAAGCUGGAAUCGCUAGUAAUCGCGGAUCACAUGCCCGCGGGGAAAAACCUUUCCCGGGCCUUGUACACACCGCCCGUCACACCACGAAGAGUUUGUAACACCCGAAGUCGGUGAGGUAACCUUUUGGAACCAGCCCCCCAAAGUGGGACAGAUGAUUGGGUGACAGAAAAAAGUCGGGGGAAAAAAAAAAAAAAAAAAAAAAGAAAGGAAAAAA
rnacentral:rRNA from 1 species